rnacentral:lncRNA from 1 species
AACCAUGAUGAUGAUCUUCCCCCGCUCUCUUGUUUGCCUUGUUGCUCAACGCCGGGGGGUGGAGGCGGGGGACGGCCGGGGGCUCUGGGGGCGCCGGGGGCGAAGGCUGGCGGGGUGGCACCGCUGUCCCCUCCUGCGGCCACGCUUGGGGCAGGCGUGGGGCGCACGUGGCCCCGUGCAGUGCCCCCAGGAUUUCGGGGCUGCCUCGCUCCCAGCCUCGCCUGCACCCUCCUGGUGGGGACCUUGGGGGCCGCAGGGGUGCCGGGGCAUGGCGGAGGCGCAGCCGCAGCCUGUGUUGGAGCUGUUUUCCUGAAAUCCUUGGCUUAUCUCCCUGCCCCCACUGCAGCGAUAGGGCCUCCUGCGAAGGCGCCGAGCGGUGCUGCGCCCCGGCUGACUCAUCCUGCGGAUGAUUCCUGCGCGCUGACGGCCACGGGGGCUUCGCUGCGGGGCCCUGCCCGGGGAGGGGGCUCCAGGAGCAGAGCUGGAGCUGGCAGCACCAACCCACCCCGAGCCCAGAGCCCCCCGGCUGCUCUUCCCCAGCGCCCGCGGGCAGCCAGGCCCCCUCUGCAGCGCUUCCCUCCCUCGGGUGCCGUUCACCUCGGCUUCGCCAGCUCCUGGCCGGCAGCUUGUCAUGGUGCUGGCAUCACUGCUGCUUUCCUUGCACCCCAGUUGUGCCUCGAGGUGCCCGUCCUGAUCCCCAGGCUGCCCCCAGACCCUACAGGGUGGGAGCGCUCCAGCAGGAUGCGGUGCUGGCCCCCUGCGUGUGCUGCACCCCGCUGCAUCCCCCUGGGGGUCAAAGACGGUGCCAGGAGCCUCCUUCCCAAACCAGGCUUCCCCUGGGGCAAGGGGAAGCUGUGGGCAGGGGAGGGGAGCAGGGGGCAGUGGGGCUGCCAGGGCACCACAGGGGAUGGGGACAGGGACAGGGAUGCGGUGCCCAACCACUGGGCUGGGCUUGGGGCUGCCCCAGAGCAGGGAGCAUCGCUCCCCCGUGGGCAGCUCCCCCGUGGCAUCGAGCAGCCCCUCCUGGUGCCCGGUGCUCCUCCGCAGCAAUGUCUGAGGCUGUGCCCUGCUCUGUGCCCAGGCCCCACCGGGCUCCUUCCCUUGGAGCCGUCGCUCUGGCUGCUGAGCAGCUGGGCACCAAGGAGGAAUUUUGGGGUGGCUGUGCCGGGGUGCUGUGCCCGGGCUGGCUGCUUGCUCAGGGCUCAGCCUUUGCCUCGCUGCCCCAGUGAUGCUGGCAUGGGCACGCAGCAGCCCCUGGGCAUGGCUCCAGGCCCUCUGCACGGGGCCAUGCCGGGAACCGGGGGGAUGUGA